UACAGAGGUCUCAAGCGUUGCUCGGAUUCAUUGGGCGUAAAGGGUGCGUAGGCGGCGCGGUAAGUCGGGUGUGAAAUCUUGGAGCUUAACUCCGAAACUGCAUUCGAUACUGCCGUGCUUGAGGACUGGAGAGGAGACUGGAAUUUACGGUGUAGCGGUGAAAUGCGCAGAUAUCAGGAGGAACACCGGUGGCGAAGGCGGGUCUCUGGGCCGAUACUGACGCUGAGGAGCGAAAGCGUGGGGAGCGAACAGG
rnacentral:rRNA from 1 species